GAUGAAGGACGUUACUAACGACGAUAUGCUUUGGGUAGCUGUAAGUAAGCGUUGAUCCAGAGAUUUCCGAAUGGGGGAACCCAGCAUGAGUUAUGUCAUGUUAUCGACAUGUGAAUUUAUAGCAUGUCAGAAGGCAGACCCGGAGAACUGAAACAUCUUAGUACCCGGAGGAAGAGAAAGAAAAAUCGAUUCCCUGAGUAGCGGCGAGCGAAACGGGAAUAGCCCAAACCAACAAGCUUGCUUGUUGGGGUUGUAGGACACUCUAUACGGAGUUACAAAAGAACAUGUUAGACGAAUCAUCUGGAAAGAUGAAUCAAAGAAGGUAAUAAUCCUGUAG
rnacentral:rRNA from 1 species